rnacentral:rRNA from 1 species
AUUGAACGCUGGCGGCAGGCCUAACACAUGCAAGUCGAGCGGAGCGGCGGACGGGUGAGUAAUGCCUAGGAAUCUGCCUGGCAGUGGGGGAUAACGUCCGGAAACGGGCGCUAAUACCGCAUACUAGCCGAUGAGCCUAGGCCGGCUUAGCUAGAUGGUGGGGUAAAGGCCUACCAAGGCGACGAUCCGUAGCUGGUCUGAGAGGAUGAUCAGUCAAACUGGAACUGAGACACGGUCCAGACUCGUACGGGAGGCAGCAGUGGGGAAUAUUGUACAAUGGGCGAAAGCCUGAUCCAGCCAUGCCGCGUGUGUGAAGAAGGUCUUCGGUUUGUAAAGCACUUUAAGUUGGGAGGCGUUACCAACAGAAUAAGCACCGGCUAACUUCGUGCCAGCAGCCGCGGUAAUUC